rnacentral:lncRNA from 1 species
UUAAAUUUAGUCCAAUCAAAAAUAUAUGUUGGCUUAUUUUGAACAUUGCUUAUCUGAAAGAAGCUUGGUUUUUACAAAGUGACUCUUUGCACCCAUUGUCACAGGUUUUGCUCAACAACACUGAGUUUUCAAAAGAGUUGUUUAUUUCAGUUCAAUCAUAUUUAAUAUCUACACUGCACAAAGAUUUUUCACUGACUUCAAAUAAACAGUUGUUGAAAGUGUUUGCAUCUAUUGAGCCCUUUUUAAAGUUUGUUUUAUAUGAAACUUGUUAUGGUGUUGAGUUGAUUGAGAUCUUCUCUCAACUUUUAUCAUUUCAAAAUUCAAAUGAAAAUUUCUCACUUUUUCAAAAAGUA